GCCCCCACCGAGGGGAAGAGGUCGCUGGAGGAGGUGGCGCAGCGCAAAAAACCUCAGUCCAUCAACUCACGACGGCUCCUUCUCCCUUCCUGGGUGUCCUCCACCGAUUCUGCAUCGUCCUCCCCGUCUGACCUCCACACUCCAGCCUCCAGCUCGCAACGCCCCCAGCUCGGGUGGCUCGUUAUGCGUAGCGAUGUAGCUGUUCCUGCGGCCAACCUUGGCUGUGCCCAGGGCCGUCACCUUCCCGACUAGAAGAACUCAGGAAGUGGGUCACAUCUCCAUAGACGACAAGGGCAGAGGCCUUGUGUCCUCCGAUCCCCACGGAGGCGGGACCCAGGGGCCCUCAGCUUGCAGCGUGGGACAGCUGGUUCGUCUAGACCCGGGUUUCUCCACCCCGCUGCGGUGGACAUUCUGGUCCAGGUAAUUCUCAGGGGCUGGGCCCACCUGUGCCGGUAGGAUGCCUCUCCAGCCUCUGCCAGCUGGGACUAGGAGCAUCCUGCCACCCUCCCACUCGUUGUGACACACAAGAAUGUCACCCAGCACACCCAAGUGCCCUCGGGGAGAUCACCCCUCCCUGUUGCCCACCCUUAUUGGAGAGCCCCGCUGCUGGGAGGGAACUAGCAUCAGAGCCAUGGGCAAAGGGCCCUGUGAAUCCCAAACCACGGGCCCUCUUAAAAUAAGGCUCCCAAGGCCUAGUGUUAGCUUGAGAAACCUGCGUGAAAUAAAUUUUUAUCUAUCCCUGGUGCUUUUGAGGUUUCUUUGUUGUUUGUGUAUUUGAAAAUAAAAGAGAUGUUCAUUUGAAAAAUUAAAGCAUAACACAGCUAGGGGUGGUGGGUGGUGCUUGCCUGUAACCCCAUCUGUGGCUUGGGAGCCUGAGGCAGGAGGACUGAUUCAAGUUCAAGGCCAGCAUCAGCAACUUAGCGAGUCCCUGUCUCAAAUAAAAAAUAAAAUUUAUAUGAUUUUUAAAAAUUUAAAAUGUAGUGUAACACAAAAAUGGGCUGGACUUGGUUCAGUGAGUGGUAGGUGGCUUGCCUAGCACGUGUUGGGUUCAAUCUCCAGCAACUGGGGAAAAGAAAAGGUGUAAGGAAAAUGACAAGUGUUCUUGAGGUCAAGCGCAGCAAGCAGGUCUUCCUUUCCUUUCCCAGCUGACUGCUGCUGGCACUCUCAUGGGAGUAUGCGUUUGACUUUCACCUUGUAUCAAAUUAGUGGCUUGUAAAAAUGCAAGCCACCAUCCCCCCAACAAUCGCCUUUUGUUGUGCUGACGCCUUUGCAGGAACUUGAAGCCACUGCUGCUGGGCUCAAAGACAAAUGUGAUUUCCUGGGACCUGAGAUUCAGGGGGUGACAGCACACCCCCUACACCCUUCCUCCCAGGCUUCCCCUCUGUGCUUCCUCCUUUGAUCUGAUGGCAAAGAACCUACCCUCUCCUUCCCUCUGCAUCCCAGAUUCCUGGGAUUCCAAAAUAAACUCAAUGACUCUCCCAUGCAUGAGUAGCCUCCUCCUUGGCUCCUAGAGCGUUGUCCCAUCUUACCUUUAAGUGAAGUGACUUUUUUUUUUUUUUACCAGUUUUGGGCUUGCUUUGAGUCACUGUAUUUUAGAAAGGCAUCUCUGUUGAUCCUUCUGGGGAACUGAAUACUCUAUUAUGUGAAUUGUUGAAUUUAGGCUCAACCACAUGGUACUGAGUCUCCAUGGACCCCAGAUAGCUGGGUAAGAGCAGUUUCAUAUGCUAGGACCUAGUAUUUAUGAGACCCUGGAAAACCACAGGACACGGGCAGCUCCCCGCCUCUGAAUGCAAGCCAUCAGGAGUGUCAUUAGGGUAGAAGGGGUCCCCAUGGUCCCUGGAAGGGGCCUGGAGGACAUUAGAAGGCUUCUCAGGGCUGGGGGUGUGCCUUAGUGGUAGUUUGGGUACUUACCAUGCAGGGGGCACUGGAUUCAAUCCCCAGUACCGAAAAAAGAAGAAAGAAAGAGUGGGGGGGAGGGAGGGAGGGAAAGAGAGAGAAAGAAAGAGAGAGGAAGGAAGGAAGGAAGGAAGGAAGGAAAGAAAAGAAAAAGCUUUUGCGGUGGGUUUGAUAUAUAUUGUCCCGGGUGAUAAACGAGCCACUUUCAAAGCAAGUGCUAUCCUUGAUCAGUAGUUCUCCACUGCCAAUGUCCCCCAGAGAGAUUGUUAAAAUGCGAGCACCUGGCCACACUUCUAGAAAUCUGGAUCCAGGAAAUCUGGGUACAACGCAAAGAUCAGCAUUUUCUAACUUCCUCCUCCCCUGUGGGCUCUGGUGCAGGCAGUCAGGUACCUACCUGGAGAAACUGCUAGAAUAGCUCUUAGAACUAUUAAUAGGUGACACGAUUUGACACCAUUGAGGUGGCAGCCACUUUAAGAGCUUUGUGUACUGACUCACUUAAUCCUCAGCACAGUCCUGUGAGGUAGACGCUAUUUUCAUUCCUCACUUCUCAAAUGGGUAAACCAGCCGGGCACGCUGAUGUACAUCUGCAGCCCCAGCUACCCUGGAGGCUAAGGUAGGAGGGUCACUGGAGCCCUUGAGUUCUCACCAACCUGAGCAGUGUAGUGAGAUGCCAUCCUAAGGAACAAAGGAAGGAAAAACACUGUGGUGUAACCAGGCAAUUGCCUCAGUCACCCACCCCAACUUGACCCUUCAAAUAUCUUGAAGUCAUUUUAAGAAAUUAUGUUUUCCUCAAAUAUUCAAGAGCAUCGGGUCCAUGCUUGUAAUAGAAAAUUUCUGAUUACAAAGUAGGACUUCCUCAAAGUCACAAAUUCAAGUGAUUAGGACAUCCGAAGUUUGCCUCCAGUUUUUGAGUCCCGUACCCUCUGCUGACAUUUUGGUGUGUACCCUUGCAGACGCUUCUCAGCGCAGGCGCAAAUGCGAAGCAAGCUAUGUCAAAGUGAGUUGUGUCGUUUAUGCCAACUCUCCUGAGAGAAGAGAGAGGAUGGACCAUUGAGGAGCACAGAGAAUUUCGCCUGCCUUUUCACUCGAUGCCUGUGAGUCAGGGUGAGCUGGGCGAGUUUUCCCUUCUCUGAGCGUGAGUCAAGAGUCUAAAGAUGGGACUGGGGACAGAGCUCAGAAGCAGAGCUCCCGCCUAGCUUCAUGAGGCUGAUUUUGACCCCCAUCCCCAGCACCAAAUCGAAACAAACAACAAACGCCUUGGAGGGUGAGGAUGUGGCACAGUGACCGAGCAAGCGCCUGCCUCCCUGUAAGAUUUAAUGGGUUUAAUCCCCAGCACUGAGAAACAAGAAGAAAAAUCACAUCUGAAGACCCGCGCUUCUUUCCAUGAACCAUCAAAGGCACAUCAGCC
rnacentral:lncRNA from 1 species